rnacentral:rRNA from 1 species
AGCGAACGCUGGCGGCAGGCCUAACACAUGCAAGUCGAACGAGACCUUCGGGUCUAGUGGCGGACGGGUGAGUAACACGUGGGAACGUGCCUUUAGGUUCGGAAUAACUCAGGGAAACUUGUGCUAAUACCGAAUGUGCCCUUCGGGGGAAAGAUUUAUCGCCUUUAGAGCGGCCCGCGUCUGAUUAGCUAGUUGGUGAGGUAAUGGCUCACCAAGGCUACGAUCAGUAGCUGGGCUGAGAGGAUGGCCAGCCACAUUGGGACUGAGACACGGCCCAAGCUCCUACGGGAGGCAGCAGUGGGGAAUCUUGCGCAAUGGGCGAAAGCCUGACGCAGCCAUGCCGCGUGAAUGAUGAAGGUCUUAGGAUUGUAAAAUUCUUUCACCGGGGACGAUAAUGACGGUACCCGGAGAAGAAGCCCCGGCUAACUUCGUGCCAGCAGCCGCAGUAACAC